UACGUAGGGUGCGAGCGUUAAUCGGAAUUACUGGGCGUAAAGCGUGCGCAGGCGGUUUUGUAAGCCAGAUGUGAAAUCCCCCGGGCUCAACCUGGGAAUGGCAUUUGGGACUGCAAGGCUGGAGUGUGGCAGAGGAGACUGGAAUUCCUGGUGUAGCAGUGAAAUGCGUAGAUAUCAGGAGGAACACCGUGGCGAAGGCGGGUCUCUGGGCAACAACUGACGCUGAGGAGCGAAAGCGUGGGGAGCGAACAGG
rnacentral:rRNA from 1 species